CCGCACUAGUUGGGGAGAUAGCGGUGCCCUGUGACCUGCAACCCGCUACAGCAGGGAUGAAUCCCGGCCCCCGGAGCUGCGGUGUGUCGUCUGCUCCGAACAAGCGAUGAUGAUAGAUCGGUCCUGCGCAACGGGGACCCGUGAACCAUGUCAGGCGGGGAACCGAGCAGCAUUAAGCGGUGCUCCUCGUGUGCCGCAGGGUGCCCGCUCUUGAGUUGGCUAUUCGGGUCGCGGGCAUACUGGAGUAUUCAAAGGCCGGUGUGCGG
rnacentral:SRP_RNA from 1 species